rnacentral:rRNA from 1 species
CCUACGGGAGGCAGCAGUGGGGGAUAUUGCACAAUGGGGGGAACCCUGAUGCAGCGACGCCGCGUGGGUGAAGGAGCGUUUCGGCGCGUAAAGCCCUAUCAGCAGGGAAGAACAAUGACGGUACCUGACUAAGAAGCCCCGGCUAACUACGUGCCAGCAGCCGCGGUAAUACGUAUGGUGCAAGCGUUAUCCGGAUUUACUGGGUGUAAAGGGGGCGCAGACGGCGCGUUAAGCCAGGUGUGAAAGCCCGGGGCCCAACCGCGGGACUGCUUUGGGAACUGCGUCGCUGGAGUGCCGGAGGGGUAGGCGGAAUUCCUGGUGUAGCGGUGAAAUGCGUAGAUAGUAGGAGGAACACCAGUGGCGAAGGCGGCCUACUGGACGGUGACUGACGCUGAGGCUCGAAAGCGUGGGGAGCAAACAGGAUUAGAUACCCCAGUAGUC